rfam:Schistosoma mattheei strain Denwood, Zambia genome assembly, scaffold: SMTD_scaffold0005376
AUUCAGUUGACGAGUCCCAAAUAGGACGAAACGCGCAUCAAACUGGAU